rnacentral:lncRNA from 1 species
ACAACGUUGUGAGCAAGAGUACAGAAGGGAGCAAGAACAACAACGCCGCGGCCAAGGGGAGAUCAUAGAAGAAAAUCAAGGACGAGGCCAACGCGAACCUGAGAGGAGAUUUAGAGAGUGCCAACAGAGAUGCCAAAGACAAGAACAGGGCCAACAACAGAGACGGUGCCAACAACGUUGCGAGCAAGAAUACAGGAGAGAGCAAGAACAACAACGUGGUGGCUCGGAGGAGAUCCUAGAAGAAAAUCAAGGACGAGGCCAACGUGAGCCCGAGAGGAGAUUCAGAGAAUGCCAGCAGAGGUGCCAAAGACAAGAACAAGGCCAACAACAGAGACAGUGCCAACAACGUUGCGAGCAAGAAUACAGGAGAGAACAGGAACAACGAGGCCCCGAGGAGAGCGAAGAAGAUAAUCAAGGCCGUGACCCCCAAAGGAGAUUC